AUUGAACGCUGGCGGCACGCCUUACACAUGCAAGUCGAACGGUAACAGGUCUUCGGAUGCUGACGAGUGGCGAACGGGUGAGUAAUACAUCGGAACGUGCCUAGUAGUGGGGGAUAACUACUCGAAAGAGUGGCUAAUACCGCAUGAGAUCUACGGAUGAAAGCAGGGGAUCGCAAGAUCUUGUGCUACUAGAUCGGCCGAUGGCAGAUUAGGUAGUUGGUGGGAUAAAAGCUUACCAAGCCGACGAUUUGUAGCUGGUCUGAGAGGACGAUCAGCCACACUGGGACGGAGACACGGGCCAGACUCCCACGGGAGGCAGCGGUGGGGAAUUUUGGACAAUGGGCGCAAGCCUGAUCCAGCAAUGCCGCGUGCAGGAUGAAGGCCUUCGGGUUGUAAACUGCUUUUGUACGGAACGAAAAGCCCUGGGUUAAUACCCUGGGGUCAUGACGGUACCGUAAGAAUAAGCACCGGCUAACUACGUGCCAGCCGCCGCAGUAACAC
rnacentral:rRNA from 1 species